CACUUGGUGAUGUCCCAUCAUUUUUUUGUAUUUUUCCUACCGUGCAAAAUGUAAUAGGUUUUUUCAUAUGUUUUCACAAAUAUCUUAUUUGAAUUCUAGUAUUGAUUUGAUUUUCAUUCACAUUGGUUAAAUAUUGGCUUAGUAAUUUAGGUAAAAAUAUGAGGGACUGGUGGUCUAAUACAUGAUGAAAAGCCCCAACCUUUGGAAAGGGUGUAUUCAUUAGAUGAGAAACCAAUGGCCUUUGGGUCUCCUUGGUGACUCAUAAUAACUUCUCAAAUCACAUGGCCUUGCGCCAGUGAUGCUUCAUUCAAAUAUCUGCCCUAUCAACUUUUGAUGGUAGGAUAGAGGCCUACCAUGGUGAUGACGGGUAACAGGGAAUAAGGGUUUGAUUCCGGAGAGAGGGCCUGAGAAACGGCCCUCAAAUAUAAGGAUUGCAGCAGGAGCGCAAAUUACCCAAUCCC
rnacentral:ncRNA from 1 species